rnacentral:rRNA from 1 species
AGGAAUAUUGGUCAAUGGGCGAGAGCCUGAACCAGCCAAGUAGCGUGCAGGAUGACGGCCCUAUGGGUUGUAAACUGCUUUUAUAAGGGAAUAAAGUGAGCCUCGUGAGGCUUUUUGCAUGUACCUUAUGAAUAAGGACCGGCUAAUUCCGUGCCAGCAGCCGCGGUAAUACGGAAGGUCCGGGCGUUAUCCGGAUUUAUUGGGUUUAAAGGGAGCGUAGGCCGGAGAUUAAGCGUGUUGUGAAAUGUAGGCGCUCAACGUCUGCACUGCAGCGCGAACUGGUUUCCUUGAGUACGCACAAAGUGGGCGGAAUUCGUGGUGUAGCGGUGAAAUGCUUAGAUAUCACGAAGAACUCCGAUUGCGAAGGCAGCAUACCGGCGCCUUACUGACGCUCAGGCACGAAAGCGUGGGGAUCGAACAGGAUUAGAUACCCUGGUAGUCCGCACGGUAAACGAUGGAUGCCCGCUGUUGGUCUGAACAGGUCAGCGGCCAAGCGAAAGCAUUAAGCAUCCCACCUGGGGAGUACGCCGGCAACGGUGAAACUCAAAGGAAUUGACGGGGGCCCGCACAAGCGGAGGAACAUGUGGUUUAAUUCGAUGAUACGCGAGGAACCUUACCCGGGCUUGAAUUGCAGAGGAAGGAUUUGGAGACAAUGACGCCCUUCGGGGUCUCUGUGAAGGUGCUGCAUGGUUGUCGUCAGCUCGUGCCGUGAGGUGUCGGCUUAAGUGCCAUAACGAGCGCAACCCCUCUCCUUAGUUGCCAUCAGGUCAAGCUGGGCACUCUGGGGACACUGCCACCGUAAGGUGUGAGGAAGGUGGGGAUGACGUCAAAUCAGCACGGCCCUUACGUCCGGGGCUACACACGUGUUACAAUGGCAGGUACAGAGAGACGGUCCCUUGCAAAAUGGAUCAAAUCCUUAAAGCCUGUCUCAGUUCGGACUGGGGUCUGCAACCCGACCCCACGAAGCUGGAUUCGCUAGUAAUCGCGCAUCAGCCAUGGCGCGGUGAAUACGUUCCCG